UGCAGUCGAGCGGGGAGGGUAGCUUGCUACCUGACCUAGCGGCGGACGGGUGAGUAAUGCUUAGGAAUCUGCCUAUUGGUGGGGGACAACAUCUCGAAAGGGAUGCUAAUACCGCAUACGUCCUACGGGAGAAAGCAGGGGACCUUCGGGCCUUGCGCUAAUAGAUGAGCCUAAGUCGGAUUAGCUAGUUGGUGGGGUAAAGGCCUACCAAGGCGACGAUCUGUAGCGGGUCUGAGAGGAUGAUCCGCCACACUGGGACUGAGACACGGCCCAGACUCCUACGGGAGGCAGCAGUGGGGAAUAUUGGACAAUGGGGGGAACCCUGAUCCAGCCAUGCCGCGUGUGUGAAGAAGGCCUUUUGGUUGUAAAGCUCUUU
rnacentral:rRNA from 1 species